CGAUUUUGGGCUGAGUGAGUUUGGCCUCAAAAGCUGAGAGGCUUUGUUAUGAGGAACUAGUCCUUUAUUUAGCAAUUAUCUCCCAUUAAGUGCAGAAAAGUCUGAACGCACCUGCUCCAUCUCAGCACCAAAGGAGUCAGCACUUGAAUCGGAUGCCGCUCAAACAGCAAGCAGGGUUGAAAUUGCAGCCUCCCCAGCCCACAGUCAUCUUCCCCCACCGGCAACCGGGCAAUGCAGGACUUGAAGUAUAUGCUAAAAAAAAAGCAAGCACCAGAGAACAGCCAACUUCCUCCACUUCUGAAGCAGUACUUGAGGUCCUGCCGUACGUAAUGCACCAGCUUCACGAGGAAUCCAAAGACAGCAAACUGCCACCGAGCCGCCUUCAGUUUUGGAGCUGCCAAAGCUGAGCCCCACGCUUCCCGGGAUCCCUUUGUAAGAGGUGAGCUCCCCACAGCCAGUCGCUUUCCCACGCAGCUAGGAUUUCAGCAGACAUCCAUUCAUGCUUUUCCAGCUAAAGUCCAGCUUACCAGGACUAUUCAUGGCAGCUGUAGCAGAAGCUUCAGCUCUCAUACCUGCACGGGGAGCCCCUCAGAGAAGUCAGCAGCAGUUAAGAUGCCAUUUCAGGAUUUGAGUACCUGAGCAAGUUGAGAUAGCACAUUGGUUGCUCUGGCUGUAACUGCUUUUUAUGGCAUUUCUGUGAUACCACAGUGGAGUUUAACAGAAUGGCUCAAGCCUAGAAAUGCAACUGCUUGAGACGCAGGUAGCACAGAUUACCACAGCAGAAUCCUCAGAACGGGAACCGAGAAGCUCUGGCCAAGCUAUCUCUGUGGGAAAAGCCCCAUUUUCUACUGAUCCAAGUUACUUUAGGUUGAAGAUGUUUGAAGAUGUUUGUUGUUGCAGAAAAUCCAUCGUGAACCCAGGAGGUACACUCGGCUGUCUGCUGCAGGAGCAGUUCACAGCCUCCUGCACCUCCAAAGAUUUUUUCCAAGUAUCUCCCUGGGCUGACUCAAGUUAUUGCAUGCAAGGACCCCUCGAGUCCAGACAAAGGGACCGUCCCAGAACAUACUGCACGUGCUCAGAGGGUACCUAACCGGUCUCCAGCAAAGCAUGGAACCCAGUUCCUUGUGGUCUUACCUCCCCUCUUUGAGCCUGUGACCAAGAUCACCCCUGGGCCACAGCACACGCUACCAGGGGCCUCUCCCAGCACCCAGCUAUAGCCACUCACUCGCCCCAGGGAGCCCCCCAGAACUGAGGCAGGCCCCAGCCCUUCCUCCCAGGGCAUUCCCCAAAGCUAGAGGGCCCCUCCCACCCGGGGGGCGCCCCUCCCACCCGGGGGGCGCCCCUCCCACCCGGGGG
rnacentral:lncRNA from 1 species